CUGCCACUGAGGAGUCCCACAAUAGGAUGAAACAGCUGUCUAGUAC
rnacentral:hammerhead_ribozyme from 1 species